AUAUACAUAUAUACAUAUAUAUAUACAUAUACACAUAUAUAUAUAUAUAUAUAUAUAUAUAUAUAUUUGUUGGAUGAAAAGAUGUGCGGUUAGGAUAAUACUAGUCGCUGGUUAGGAUGAUAGUGGUCUUCCAUGGUUGAGUAGGUAGUUGGUUGAAUAGUAUGAUCUAACGGGUGGAAAUAGUCAAAAGGGUAGAUAUAACGGCGGAAAAAUCGAUAACACUAAGCGCUUGGUACUAUCAGUAGUCGGUCUCUCUCUCUCUCUCUCUCUCUCUCUCUCUCUCUCUUUAUAUAUAUAUAAUUGGGUUGAAAUAUUAUUGAUAAUAUUUGGUUUCUUUUGCUAUCAAGUUUCUAAGCCUUGAAUGAGAAAUUAUAGUGUUUGUAUGAUAUUAGUCCCUUAGGGUUAAGCGGUUCCCCUAAGAUUGAGUGAUCCCCAUUGGGUUAUAAUAUUUAAUCCAAUGGUUAGAAAUAAUCAAAGGAAUUAAUCUAAAAGUUAAAAUUUGAUUGAAAAAAUGGGCAAAUACUAUUAAUAGUAUUCUAGCCCAACUCUCUCUCUCUCUAUAUAUAUAUAUAGUUAGGUUGGUAUGCUUUUAGAAGCACGGAGUCCUCCGUGUUUCUAAGUCAUUUUUGAUGUUGGGACUUUUGAAUCAAAGAUCAGCUCUGAUAUGCUUGAUCUAGAAUAUUUGAAGUAUUUAGAAAAUAAAUUUUGUGAUUUUUCGAUAUCAUUUGUCUAGUGAUUGAAGAUGCUCAAAAUCAAUAAUAUUCAAAUCAUGGAAAAUUUAGAAAGAAAAUUUUUCAUACUAUAUAAAAUAAGAUCAAUAUUUUUGAUCCAAAAUUUUAUUCUCAUAUCAUCACAUUUUGUGAGAUUUUUAUUUUCAGCCGUUAAUUUUGAGCCCUUUUUAGCAUUAUGUAAAUGAUAUUGAAAAAUUAUGAAAUUUAUUUUUUAGGUACUUCAAAUACUCUAUAUCAAGUUUCAUGGAGCUUAUCGUUGAUUCAAAAAUCCCAACAUCGAAAAAGACUUGGAAGCACAGAAGGCUCCGUAUUUCUAAAAGUAAACCAGUCUAACUAUAUAUAUAUAUAUAUAUAUAUAUAUAUAUAUAUAUAUAUAUAUAUAAUUGAGCUCUAUGCUUUUAAAAGUACUAAGUCAUUGGUGCUUGUAGGUUUUCGGCCCUUGGAUUAAGGAAUGUAUUCUUAGUAUGAUAGUGAUCUCCUAGAGAGGUUGGUUGAAUAGUAUAAUCUAAUGGUUGAAAAUAGUCAAAGGGUAGAUCUAACAGCGGAAAACUUACAAGCACAAAAUGCUUGGUGUUUUUAUAAAAUCAUAAAGGAAAAAAAAAUCUUGUGAGUUACUUGUAUACUCGUUCACCCGCCCGCAACGGGUAUGGGUAAAGAUGUAGACUAUCCAAAAAAUUAUAAAUAAAUUUUAUUCAUAUCCAUGUAAUUCGCUAAUACAAUAACCUACCUGGAGUCCACCCAACUUUCCUAUUUGCAAGGUCUACUUUCUAGUAAUAAAUGGAUGAAUAUUUUUUAGGGUUAAUUGCAUACACGUCCCUGCAAAACAAGGUGAAUUGCAUAUAUAUCCCUGCAAAGCUUAACUUUCAUAAUUUGUCCCUACAAAAGUCCUAAUGUUUUUAGAUACAUCCCUCUGGUUAGGAUCCGUUAGAGAACUGUUAAUUUUUUAACAUUAUGCUCGUAAAAUGAUAUUUUUGUCCCCACAAAUAUGUCUCUCCAAAAGUACUCCCUCUUCCUCUUUCUCUUCCUCUUCGGGCCGCGGGAGCAGAUGGCAGCGGCGGCAGAUCAUCGACGACGACGACAAAGAAGAAGAAGGAGGAGAAGAUGAAGAUACGAAGAAGAAGAAGAAGGAGGCGGCGGAGGCCGGAGGAGCUCGAAGGCGAGGGGUUCGCGGCUAGGUUGGAGAGGUCGCCAACGGCGGAGGAGAGGUGAGAGGCGGCUACAGCGACGGCGCAACACCGAGCGCGGAAGCAUCGCGCGGCGGCGGCGGCGGCGACGGAAAAUACGGCGGAGAGGAGGCGGCGGAGGUCAGCGUUGGCAGCGCUUCGGCGAGGUCGGGGUCGGGUUCGCCAGCGACGAAGAAGAGGGAAGAGGAAGAGGGAGAGGAAGAAGAAAAGGGAGAGGAAGAGGGAGAGGGUUCGUCGCCGCAUCUUCUCCCUCGCCGACGACGAAAAAGAGGGAAAAGGAAGAGGGAGAGGAAGAAGAAGGAGGUAAAAUUGUCAUUUCACUUAUUAAUUAACUAUGGUUAAAUAUUUUAACUGUGAUUAACGAAAUUUCUCUAUCAGAAACUAAAGGCAGGGACAUAUCUGAAUACAUUAGGACUUUUGUAGGAAUAAAUUAUGAAAGUUGAGCUUUGUUGGAAUAUAUUUGUAAUUCAUCAUGUUUGCAGGGACGUGUAUGCAAUUAACCAUAUUUUUUAUUACUUUCCUUCAUCACAUCGCCUGGUACUUGUAAGUUUGAGCCUGACGGGGACGUAAGGACUUAAAGAGGGGGAGAUUGUGGAACCCCAGGUAGUCCUAUAUAUAAGAUAUAAUAUGGCUAAACUCUUAAUCCAGCUUAAGCAUUUUGGAUAAUGGAUAGACCCAAGAAGUUAAGAGAGUUAAGGCGUGCUAGAACGGAAGUAAUCCUAGGAUGGGUGACCCCUUGGGAAGCUAGGGCGUCACAUGCAAUGUCUAAAUAAAUAAUUAUACUCACAAACUGUGACAACCACCCAAUAAAAAUGCAUCAAAUCACCAAAUUAGUAAAUAGGAUAAAAAAUUAUUAUUGAGUAACUAUAAUUUUUCUCCCCUUUUAGAGAGAGAAAUUAAGAAGAGAGUGUGAGGAAGAGAAAUGAGGGUUGAGAGAGAUUUGGCUGUGAAGGGAUAUACAUAGAGGUGUCAUAUUUAUAACUAAACCCCAAACAUUAGUAAUUGCAACCAAUCAAAAUUUAGAAUUUGCAGAGUUGUGUAUUGGUAUAAUACUCAAGUGUUAUGAUAUUCCGAGGCACUUUUGUAGAAUCUGAAUGUUGGAUUUCUUUACUUUCUAUUAUGUACAGAUAUUCAUUCGUUUUAGUACCGGUACUCAGAAAAGUUCAACAAAAUCCGAUAGAUCUUUAGCCUUCUGGUAACUAAGUACUGAUAUUAAAUGAAAUGCUAAAACUCCCCAAAGUCUAUUUUUGUGUCGUUUUCGUGCUAAAAAUACUUUAAUACUUCCCGAACACUUUGGAAAUAUCUAAAUAGUUUUCAUUAUAAUUUCUCACAAGAACACUAUUAUUUAUAACAGUUUAGUGCAUUAGAACCAAACUCUAAGGCUGCAUUUGAUUCGGAUAUAAGUAAAAACUAGACCAAUUUUGCGUUUGGAUGAAAAUUGGGUUGCUCCUAGGAAUAAGAUAAAUAAUGUUUGGAUGGUUAGAUCGGAACAAGAGGAAUAAAAGUUAUAAUUUAAAAUUAAAAUUAUAUUAUUUAAUUAAUUAACAUCAAAAUAUUACUUAAAAAUAAAUAAUAAAUAAAUUAUUAAUAAUUAAUUAUAAAUAAUAAUAAUUAUUAAUAUUAAUUAUAAAUAAUAAAAUAAUAAUAAUAGUUAUUAAUAAAUAAUAAUAAUUAUAAAAAAUUAUUAAUAAUUAAUAAUAAAUUAAUAAUAUAUAAAUAAUAAAUUAAUUAAUAAUAUCGAUUAUCUAAUUAUUAAGAAUAAUAAUUAUUAUUAAUUAAUUAUAAAUAAUAAAUUAUUAAUAAUAAUUAUCUAAUUAAUAAUUAUUAAUUAUAAAUAAUAAAUUAAUUUAUUAUUUUAUUAUUUAAGUAAUAAAUAAUAAUUUAAAUAUAUCAAUUAUAUUAAUUAAAGAUUUACUGUUAUUAAAAUUACAUUUAGGCUUUAAUUAAUGUUCUUAUUCGGGAACAAGCUUGUUCUAGAAAAAAGAUGGUACAGCAGUUCCAGCCUUAUACCAGCUUAUUCUAAAAACCCAGAAACAACAAUUCCGGGACGGGAUACCAAACGCAGCGUUUGGGAACAAAGGGGGGAACAAGGGCUUAUUCCCCCCUUGUUCCCAAACCAAACGCUACCUUAGAUAUUUAUUAUUUUACGUGGAAUAUCUAUUUUGAUUAAUCUUAAAAAAUAUCCACUAUAGAAAAUAUUAAUUUUCUUGUCGGACAGGCUGCUAGUGUAUGGUACAGCGUGUUGGAGUGUAAUCCAAAGAUUUUAGGUGAAAUAGUGUAAAUAUCUUGCAUGCUCUCUUUAGUGGAGAGUUUGUAGUAAGUUAUAUUUUGUGUUGUCCUUUUAUUAUGGUAAUAGUAGCUCUAUUAUUAUAUAUGACUGUUAUCUAAUAUCUGUUUUAGAUCAAGUGAGUUUAGAACAUCAUUUUCAGCGAUCGUAUUCACUGAAAAAUUUAUUUUAAGUUCUCACCCCAUAGCUUUUGUAUUUUCUUUAGAGCCAUCCUUCGUCAAUAAGGUGCAUAAUCGAGGCAAGAGCAUUGCUGAGUUAGGUAGAUCAUCUCUGGGUCGGUUUAGAGAGAGUACUCCUCUGGGGAGGGGGGUCUCGAGGCAUGACGCUUACGUAGCAUUUUUUUUAAUUCUUAUUUUUUUCAUAAGAUGGUAAGGCUAUAUAUACCAAGAGAACAAGUUAAUUAGUUAGAUAACAGCUAGCGAUCAUGGAAAAACAAGUCGACAAUGCUUCUUGCGAUUGACUUGUUAAACAAAUGAUACUUCUUUCGCACGUACUUCAUGGGUUUUAAUAUUUAUUUAAGGUGAUUAAGGCACUAAAGUCAUCACGGACCAACGAGUUUAAACACCAAUAUAUAGCAAAACGAGAGUUUCAAAGUCAAUUGCUUGCUUUGGGAGGUUAAUUAGCUUCCGUUUUUGCAAUAAUAUAAAGCGUUUAUAUACGAGAUAUACGUGGCAAAGUGCAUGUGCAUAUAUUAUUGAAGAUGCCAAAGUCUUCUAUAGCGGAACGCUGAUAGAUCGACAUUGAGAUGUAAAAAAUAAUUAAAACUAAAUACAUAAUAAUGACUAGAAUUAUAAAUAGAAUAAAUUAUAAACAGAAUAAAAUUAAUUGACAGAACAUCAUAGAAAAAAAAAAAAAAUUGAUCAAUCUGUGGAAGCAAGAAGUAGUCCAGCUACAAUAUGAGCGUCACCAACCAAACAAACAGUAGUUAAUCCUUCACCAGAAUCUUCUUGAGAAGGCGGCAGAACUAGUACUCGAUCCGUCUGUACAGAGUUUGAAUUGACUUCUCAUCAAAAUCUAAUUAGAAUUUUAUUUAAUUUAGAUAAAUUAAAAAUAUAAAGUAUAUCAUAUUAAGUAGUUCUAUAUCUAUUCGGAUUAGUCUUUAUUUAUAGUAAAUUCGGAUUUGAAUAUGAUUAAUUCGGUGAUAUUUAUCAAAGUCCUAAUUAACAUAUAUAACCUUUAUUUCAUAUAGAAAUGAUUGCCUAUUCUGUAAAAUCAAAUGUUUUUGUUUUGUGUAAAUUAAACGUCUUAAAAAAGUCUUGUUUUGGUUCUCCGGCGACGGUUAAUGCUGCUCUCCUAAACUAUAUAUUGAUGUGUUGAAAUGGCAAUAAAGAGGUUUUAAUUAAUUUAUAUGCUUAUGUCAAUAGCAAUUACAAUUCGCCAAAUAAAAGCAAUUUUGUGAGGGAUUUUUAACUCCUUUCCAUUUUAAAACAUUUUCUAGCUAGCCUUGGAAACCCCUCUUAUAUACAUAUAUUUGGAGUAAUGCUUCUAUACUUUUUUUUUUUUUGUUACCGUUCAUUCACGCGUAUUCAACGGCUCAGAUUUAGUUUUUUUAAAAUUGUGACCUGCAAUAGCAGGUCACUUUGGGAGAGGUACCGGUUACCAGGUACCUCAAAAAAGGAUAUUUUUGUCUUUUAAUACAUGGGCAAUUUAGUCAUUUUACAUCUACUAUAUUUUCAAAAUUUUUAUUUUUUCUUUGUUUCCUUUUUCUCUCUCUAUCUUUCCUUUCAUAAUUUGGCAUUUCAUAUAAGAAAAAUUUCAAAUGAUUUGACAAUAUGAUCAUUGAAUUUAAACUUUAAAUAGUAAUAUAAAAUUUCUCUAAUUUAAAUUUCACUUUUAAAUUUAAAAUUUAAUAUUAUAUUCAAAUUUAUAUUUUAAAAAUUUAAGUUUCAUAUAAAUACUUUGAAAUAUGGUAAACAGAAAUAAUUGUUUGAAUUCUAGUCUUCUGGUUUAGGUUUGGUUUUGGGUUUCGAAAAAUUGGUCAGUUUUGAAUUUGGAUAUGGAUUUUUGAAAUCCGUCGAGUUCGGAAAUAAGUUUUGUGAUUGUUAGUCAGAUUCGAAUUCAAAUUCCUAACUAUUUUUUUUCUCACCAAUAAUUCUAAUCUUUUUAAUUUAUAUGUUUAAAAUUAUAUUUAAAAUAUUUAUUAGCUCUAACAGUUAAAUUAUUAUUCUGUUUAAAAUAUUUAUUAUCUUUACCGGUUCCAAAUUGUUCUUAAUGUUAUUCGGUUCAAUAGGUUAAAAUCAGAUUCUUGAUAGAAUAGGUCAAAGUCUGAUCAGUCAAAUCAAUCGGUUCAAUCUAGUUUUUAAAUCAUUGAAUUUAAAAUUUAAAUAGUAAUAUGAAAUUCCUCUAGAGAAAUCUAGUUGUAGAAAUCUUACUCUCUAAGUUUUUUAUGCAUUACGUUUUAAACUGGUGCGAAUAAACUGUAUUUUAAAUCUUGGUAGAAAUUUAGUUUUUAAAUAGUAAUAUGAAAUUCCUCUAAUUUAAAUUUCACUUUUAAAUUUUAAGUAUUUAAUUUUUAAAAUUUAAAUUCAUCGUAUUUAGAAAUAAAACUAUUUCUAAAAUUUCUAUAAUUUAAAUUAAUGCAUAAUUUGAGAAACAUUAAAACAUUUAAAGUAGAUUCCUAAAUUAAUGCCUAAUAAUUGCAUAAAUUUGGUUAAUCAAUUAAUUUCCUAAAUUAGUGCUAAUUAAUGCAUAAAUUUAGGACCUCAAUUAAUUAAAAGUUUCUUUAAAUAUUGUAUUAUUUAAUUACCAAACUAACCUUGAAUAAAAUAAUCCUUUUACCUGCUAAGUAUUAAAGUUACAUUUUUACCCUCAUUAUUAAGAUCUUUUUUAUUUUUUUUAAAAAAAAGUACCGAAUCAUUUCUCAUAUAUUUGUCUCUGUUUCAUGUUUCUCUCAAUCGCUAUCACUUUUAGAGCAUGUUUGUUCAUGGAAAGUGAAAGAGAGUGAAGUUGUUUUUCACAUAAAUGCUUGUUUUCAUUUUUUAAUUCAUCACAAAUUAAAUUCAUCCAUAAUUCUAUUUUUCAAACCGUUGUAAUUGAUUUUGUUCUAAAUAGUGCCGAAGCCAAUUGCGAAACAGAAAGAUAUAGGAAAAAAAAAAUUUAAAAACUAAUUAGUAUAAUAUUUUUUCCAUCCUCAUAUAUAUACGUUAAUAUGACAACUUUCAGUAAAGUAAAUAAUGUAAGAUAAAUAUAUAUGGUUUCAAAAUUAUUGAUUUUUAAUCAAACAAAUAGUGGUCGGAAAAAAAAAAUCUUAAACUUCAAUUCAAGUGAAAGUUAUAUAUUUUCAAUCUAAAAAAAAACUUAGAGGCAAAAAAUAGGGCCUUAAUUAAGGUGAAAAAUAUUUUUAAAAUUAAGAAAUAAUGACAAAUCAUAGGUAGUGGAUACUAGAAAAUGAAGAUAGUAUUAUUGAGGAUAGAUAUAUUAGGGGAUGUCCACGGCUAGCAUGCCCGUGUAUUGUAAGGCUAAUUAAUAUUUUGUGUAUAUUUAUGUCCUAUAUCAUAUUAUAUAAGUGAUUAUUUUCUUUCUUUCGCAGCUAAUUUACUAUUUAAAUAGUUAUCUUAAAUUAUUAAUCCUUUUUUUAUUUUUAUAUUUUUUUAUAUAAGGGUUUUACAUCCUAUUACAUAUUACACGUACAACGAUUUCUCAUGUUAUAUGCUAGUUUUUUUCAUAGAGAAGAAAAGAAGAAAAAAGGCAAGAGAGAGAGAGAGAAAUUUUUUAAAAAAAUUAAAGUAUUUUUUUCUCUUAUUAUUAUCAUUUGAAUGAAAAGAAGAAAAUUAAUUUGUCUUUUUUUUCUUUUCUCUCUAGUUUGUUUUUUUUAGAGAGAAAAGGAAAUUGACAAUUACCAAAGGUCACUUUCACUGUUUCUCUCCUUACUUUCAAUCCAAAAUAUGGAGGCUGUGCACUGAGACAAGUGACUUGUAAAAGCAAUAACGGGAGUGCGACGUACGUAUGAUUCAAAAGGCAUCAAUAAUGAAUAUUUUAGGAGACAUUAAUUUUAGCUUCUUGUUUAAUUGUAAGCUUUUCAAUCACACAACAACAAGAGUAGAAUAAGACAUGUUAAAAUAAUGAGAAGAGGAAAGGAAUGUGGAGGAAGAAGCAAACACAAAGGAACGUGGAGGAAGAAGCAAACACAACCUUGAAAAACUUUUUCUCACUAAUAAAGAUGUGACCCUCCAUUUAUGUAUACCAUAUAAGAAAUAUAUAGUUUAAUUUGUGUUGACUUUUGGUUGGUACAUAAUAUAUUACAUGCUUUCCUUUUUCCCACCGGCGUAUACCUAACUUUAUCCUCUUGUUUGUACAGGUGUCAAUCGUCAAUCUCAUCCAAAGACAACUCAAAAGGUUUCAAAUUCUAAUAGCGGAUCUUAUAAAUGGUUUUUUCACUAUGUUGAAUCAAAUGUAUAGAUAUAAAUAUAUAAUAUUGAGUUGACUAAAAUACUAUUAAUAGUAUUUGGGCUUUUUUUAUGUAUAUUGAGUUGACUAAAAUACUAUUAAUAGUAUUUGAACUUUUUUUAUUAUCGAUUUUUUAGCCGUUAAAUCUAUACUUUAAUUAAUUUCACCCUUUAGAUCAUACUAUUUAACCAAUUACCCACUCAAUUUCAGAGGGAACACCACUAAACCUUAGAAAACCACUAUUAUUCCAACCCUAUAAUUUUUCAUCAAAGUGUUAAAAACUUAAUAGUAAAAAAGUCCAAAUACUAUUAAUAGUAUUCCGGUCCAAUUCUUAAUAUAUAGAGAGAGAGAGUCGAGCAAGUAUAUUAUUAGUAAGAGCAAUUCUUCUACAGUUUUUAUUUUUAGAUGUCGUUUAUUUAUUCCUAUUCAACGGCUCAUAUUUAAUUUUUGUUAGUUGUGACUUGCAAUAACAGGCCGCCUUAAGAGAAGUACCAGUCACCAAAUAUCCUGAAAAAAAAAGUUUUGGUAUUUUGAUUUGGGGUUAAUUAAGUAAUUUUGCCCCAUUGUAUUUUCUAAUCUAUUCUCUUUUUAUUUUCUUUUUCUAUCUCUCUAUCUUUCCUCUCUAUUCACAUAUGGAGAGGAACAAUUAUUUCAGGUUCGGAUUUGUAGAUUUAGUUUGGGUUUACGAUUUUUGGUCAGUUUCGGAUUUGAAUAUAGAUUUUUGAAAUCCAUCGAGUUUGGAUGCAAGUUUUGGAGUCCUUGGAACAACUUGUUCCCAGGUGGGAACAAGAUUAAUCAAAGUCUAAAUUUAAUUUUAAUUAUGAUAUUAAAUUAUUAAUUAAUCUAAUUAAUAUAUUUAAAUUAUUAUAUAUUGCUCAAAUAAUAAAAUAAUUAUUUAAUUUAUUAUUGAUAAUUAAUUAUUAAUAAUUUAAUGUAGUAUCCCUGGGGUUUAGUGGUAGGAGUGACUGCAGUAUCUAUGGCUUGUCGACACAUCUGUAGAAUGUUGGGACGAGUUUGAGCCGUGUGGCGUGAAAUGGACGCAAAAACGGACUCGGCGCAGUGCGAGAUUGGAGUUCUGACACUGAAAUCUGCAAACUGCAGAUUUUGAAUGUUGAGUACCGGUACCUGUGUGGAAUACCGGUACUGGGACUGGGUACCGAUACUACAUUGAGCUAGUACCGGUACACUGUAUUAAAAUCCAGCUGUCCAGCGCUUGGGUUUUAGCUAAUCGAGUGCCGAGUAUCAGUACCGGUGCCUCAACCGAGUACCGAUACUCAAUGCAGCAGUUUGAGUUAGUAAAAAAGUUUUUUGUCAUUUUGCAGCCAUGUUUAUCCUAUUUAUUCCCCAACCGACCCCGGCUGGAUUUCUAAGUUUGGAAGCUUAGAGAACCUGAUAAGCUUCUUCUCUUUUUCUCUCUAGCUUUCUCUCCCCAGUUCUAUGGGAAUUAGAGGAUUGAUUUUAUUUUUUAUUCUUCUUCUCUUUGGAGGAUUGUCCGUGCGCCUCGAUUUGCUUCAGUUUGAGGUUGAUCCGGUGUGGGGUUUAUCCUAUCGACUUCUAGCCGGUGUUAGACGAGCAUUUAAGGUGGGUUAAUGUUGUCCGAAGCCUUCGGAUUGCCUCCUAAGUUAUUGAUAUCCCAGCAUGUGUAGUUUCGUUAUAAUCAUCCCGUUUAUAGUUCAAACUGUAGAUUUGCAUAUUAUAGAUGAAAUCUAAGUUUUGGAGCAUGCCUAGUUAAAUUAUGAUGAUUAUUAUCUACAAAACUGGGAUUUGACUUAAGAAAAAACUGAUUAAAUCUACACUUGUCAUCUUUCGAAAAGUUAUUAGAUUUAGCUUCAGGAGCUGACUUUUCUUUUGUAUCACCGCUGUUAGUGCGUUGUGGAUACUUGAGUUAGUGUAGGUUGAGAUUAAGCUCGUGCUUAAGGGCCGAACUCGUUUUUAUAGCAGAAUUAGACUGUUUUGUAUUGUCGGCUGCCAUCAGGGCUGACGGUGGACCCAGAUUCUUACAGUUUGUACUAGAUUGUGCCAAGAGCACGUGAACCUUAGUUGUUAGACCAGUUUGGCCCAGUUGUGUUGACUGCAGCCUGUGUGAGCCUGAUUGAGCUCGACGGAGACACUCUUGUAUGCUCGGUUGGGUCACUCCCAUGAGUGCCGCUCUAGAGUGAGGCUUUCUUUGCGUUGAUAUAGUAGCAGUCUUGUUUGGACAGUUUUCUUGAACCGGCCACUCCCGUGGAUGGUGUUCGGUGUAGUUGGGUACGGGCUGGACUGGCCAGUUGGCGGUCCCUUAAGAUUGGGUCAGUUGUGGCUGAUUGGUGGCUAGUGAUGCAUUUCAUAUGUUUCAAAAAGUAUGGUUUGGAUAGCGAUAGUAUAGUGGCAUUUAGAUGUAAAGUUUCUUCUAACUUAUUUAUCUAUCAGCUUAUUACCAUAUUGUAGACUUAGUAGGUGGGUCGUUGAGGUCGGUGACGGUACCCACUGAGGACUACUCUAUUUUGCAAUAGUUCUCACACCCUUUGCUGCCACUUUUUCUUACAGAGCUUUCGACCGCGGCUACUGCUACUGCUGUUGUUUUUUAUCAAGGUAAGGGAGUCGCGAGCUAGAUCCAUGUCUACCCGGUCACCAUACUAGAGGAGCUCCUAUCAGAGAUAGUUUUGGUUGUGCCAUGUACAUACAAUGAUUUUUCUUUAGUUUCGCUUUGAGAGAGGGUUGUGCUUUGAAACUUGUAUGUACAAUGGGUAUUUUACUUUUAUAUAUAUAUAGAGAGAGAGAGAGAGAGUUGAGCUAGAAUACUUGUAAAAGUAUUAUGUGAGUGGUGCUUUUGAGUUUUUAGUCAUUGGAUGGAGAGAUGUGAGGUUGAGAUGAUGGUGGUAGGUGGUGGUAGGUGGUGGUAGGUGGAAUAAUGUUUGAUCAAAGGGCUAUUAGUAAUCAAGGAGUAGAUCCAAUGGCUAAAAACCUAAUAGCAUCAUGGAGGUAAUACUUGUAAAAGUAUUCUAGCUUAAUUUUAUAUAUAUAUAUAUAUAUAUAUAGAGUCCGUCUCCCGUACUUUCGAAAGUACGGGAGGCCCCGUGCUUGUAAGUUGUUUUCGAUGAUAGGAUGUUCAAUUCGACGAUCGGCUCCGUUAGAUAUGAUCUACCCUAUUGGAACUAUCUAGAAACCAAAUUUUAGAUUUUUUUGACAUCAUUUACUAAGCGAUCAAAAGGUCUAGAAAAUGACUAUUUUAACGGUCGAUGUGGCACAUUUUUAAGUUCAACGGUGUAGAAGUAUCCAAAUUACAUGAAAAUUUAAUAGAAAAUUCUACUUAAUAUCAAUAGCAAGAUCAAUACUUCCGAUUUAAAAUUUGAAUCCUUUAUCACUGUUUUUUAUGAGAUUUUCAUUUUCAGCCGUUCAUUUUGAGGCUACUCGUUCACUAGACAAACGAAAUCAAAAAAUUAUGAAAUUUGGUUUCUAGAUAGCUCCAAUAGUGUAGAUCAAGUUUAACGGAACCGAUCGCCGAAUCGGAUGUCCCAUCAUCGAAAACAACUUACAAGCACGGGGCCUCCCGUACUUUCGAAAGCAUAGGAGCCUAGCUCUAUAUAUAUAUAUAUAUAUAUAUAUAUAUAUAUAUAUAUAUAUAUUUCAGUUUUAGUAGCUUCGUAUUUUGUUGUAGCUACUAUCUGUUUGUACGUACGGCUAUCGCUUUGUAUGCAUGAAAAAAAUUUUUGUGUACGGCAGAUCCGUUGGCGAGCCCGGGAAACGUAGUAAUUCGAAGCGUGAUAUUUAAUAUAUUUAUUUAUAAACUAAUAUUUAUAUUGAUCAACCAUUAAUAUAAUUUUAUUAGUCUAAUUAAUUUUUAUUAGUAGUUAUCUAACUAAAAUAAUUUACUAACUAAUUAAAAAAUUAAAUUAUUUUUUAUAAUUAAUUAAUUAAUUAAUUAAUAUAUUUUUAUUAUCUUAUACAAUAUUCAUAGUUAAUAAAUUUAUUAGUUUAUUAAAUUAUUUUUAAGUAAUAUUUUGAUGUUAGUUAAUUAGAUAAAAUAAUUUUAAUUUAAAAUUAUAACUCUUAUUUUCUUUGUUCCAAUCUAACAAUUUAAACACUAUUUACCUUAUUUCUAGAAACAACCCAAUUUUUAUCCAAACGCAAAAUUUGUCUAAUUCCUGUUUAUAUCUGAACUUGUACCUAUUUCUAGAAUAAGCAAUUCUUACUUAUACCCGAAUCAAACGCAGCCUAAAGAUUUGUGGUUAAUGGGCUCGAGUAGAUUUGACACUUCCUUUUGCCACGUGGAAUUGAAGGGGUAAUAAUUUGAUAAGCAUAAUAAUAAUAAAUAGUGAAGUUAUGCAUAUAUUGCAGCGGACUAAUGCUAUAGAAGAUAAAAGAUUGACAAAGUUAAUAUUUUAAAAUUUUUUAAUUUGUCGUGAGACAUCAAUAAAUACAAUAGAAAAUAUAGUAAAAGUUAUAAUAGUAAAUAAAUUAUACGUAACAAUAAUGAAAGAAACGGUAAUAGAGUUACUACUCCAUACGCACCUUGAUCGCGCUGUCGAGAUCGGAAAGACGAUUCUUGUUCUCCGUGUCGCCUUCACCGCCAUUGUCGGCGUUGAGUUUCUCCUUGAUCACGACCAAGUCGAUGCCGUAUGGAUCCCCCACACCCACUGCUUCUUUCCCCUCAUCGACUCAAAAUCCAUCAUCCAAAUCCAUCACACUUCACCUCGCCGCGUCGCCAUGAUCUUUUGAACCCUACUUUCAAUCCCAACACAAUUUAAAAAAAUAAAAAAAAGAUUAAGAAAAAUACAAAAAAUGAACCAUUCUUGUGUAGCGAAAAAAGUAAAAGAAAAAAAUAUGAUAAAAAAGAGUAUGAAGAGAUCUUAUUUUACUCUUUUUUUUUAAAGCGAUUUGUUUAGAUAAAAUGGAUCAUAUGAAUAUAUUAAUUAGAAAGUGGACGGGUGGGAAGACGAAAUAUCGAACAGAGAUGGGAGUGGGAAGACGAAGCAUCAAAGAAUGGAAAGGAGAAUGAAGGAGAAAUUGCCACGUCGCAAACUUUAUAUGAGAAAUAAUCUAUACCUAUACAUUAUUUCUCACGGAAUUUGCCAUGUGGAAAUUCCUCCUUCACCCGCUCUCCACACUCUUUGAUGCUUCGUCUUCCCACCUCAUCUCUAUCCAAUACUUUGUCUUCCCACCCGCCCACUUUCUAAUUAAUAUAUUCAUAUGAUCUAUUUUUAUUUAAAUAAAUCAUUUAAAAAAAAAGAAUAUCUAUUGGCUGUUGUAACUUUCAUUAUUGUUAUAUAUAAUUUACUUGUUGUUGAAAUUACUUUUGCCACAUUUGUAUAUAUCUGUUUUAUAUUUUUUAUUUGUAUUUAUUGAUGUCUCAUUACAAGUUAAAAAAUUUUAAAAUUUUAAUUUUGUCAAUCUUUUAUCUUCUAUAACAUUAACCCGUCGCAAUGCACGGGUAACUUUUCUAGUGUACAAGAAUAGACAAGAAUAGAUAGAUAACAAUAAUUAAUUAUUAUCAAUGUUAAGUUCACUCGCACACAUGUACAUAAUAUAUAUUUGAACUAGUCUUUGAACCGAAAACCUACAUCUUGGUACAUAUGAAGGUGCCUAUUGAUUGAAAAACUUAGGGGGCAUUUGGAAUAAUAAAAUUGUAAUUUAGCCAUAAAUCAAAUUUAUUAAUUGUGUAAGUAUUAGUCAUAUUAUUCAUCAUAUAUGUUGGAUAGGGAAUAACCCCUCGGUUUACAUGCUCGAAUGCCUAUUUUCUUUAAAAUGAUCCGAGAUCAUCUUUCAUAGAAAGGCCCAAUAUCAAGCUUACACUAGACUGAAUCUCACAAGCAUUGUGCUAGUUGAUGGCAAAACUAGAUGAAUUACAAUUACGCCAAUCCAAGCAUCACCAGUUUAUUUUACUGCAAGUGAAUUUUGGAUUGAAAUAAAGUUCAAGUGAAAAUUAGUUCUUUCCACUAUUUGUUUUCGUAGCUACAAAAACGAAGUUCCUCAAGUACUGUUAUUUAUUUGGCCAGAAGUAAAUGGUGCAAAAAUUAUAUAAUUUAUACAUAAACAAUACAUAACUUGAUAGAUAUAAUGAAUUAUAAUGUAAUAAUAAAAAAUAAUAUAAUUAUUGUAUUCCUAUAUAAUUAAAAAAAUAUAAUCUAAAACAACUUAAUUAAUUUCUUUUAUACAUAAAUGAUAACAAUACAACUAUAUAUAAAAACAUAGAGUAAAAAGAAUAUUAAUACUGAACUAAUCAAUUUUCGUAAUAUUUUAACGUGCAAACUAAAUGAAAGAGAUACUAAAAUUCAACUUAUCAAAUUUCUAAACUAAAUAAAAGAGUAAUUAAUUAGUACCGCAAUCAAAUAUGUUUAAAUAUAACUGGUAUUAUUUAUCGUAUUUUUUUCCUUCACAUGUACUGUAAUUGACUUCGGCCGCUGUAUUGGAUAACUUGAGUUUAGACUGUAUAUCUAUUAAUUAAGGCAAAUCAAAUAAUAAAAAUGAUCAUUUACUACUGAAAAUAAUUUUAUCCCCAGUCACUUACACCCAAAUAUACAGGCCUUUAGUGGUAGCAGUGUUGUGGCAUGCAAGUCCAUUUUUGUUGGCUAGCUAUGAUAUAUUAAUUUUAUGUACCUUAGUACUUUGUCAUUUGAAACCUCUGACUUUCUCUAAUUUGUUUGCUCCUAUCCUAGCAAACAUUAAGGCCCGUUUGGAUACUCCUGAAAACGUAGCAUAGUUAAACUAUACUACGGCGGUAGAAAAAAUAUCCUAUGAAGUGUUUGGGAGGAAAAAAAGUAACGAAAUUUUUGGAAUAUAGUUAAACUAUACUCCAAAAAAUGGAGUAAAAUAUAAUCCACUCUAACCAAAGAAAAAAAAUUCCACCAUUCUUGAGCUCCCUUAUUCAAAAAAAUGCAUCAAGUUCUAACUUUUAAAUUUCAACAUAGAUUUUAAAUUUCAACAUAGAUUUAAAAUUUAAAAUUUAAAAUUUGAAAUUUGAAAUUUGAAAUAUCACAUUUGAAAUUUUAAAUUAAAAUUUUAAAUUUUAAAUUUCAACUUUAAAUUUCGAGAAUAAAAUCUCGCAAAUUUCAGAAUUUAAUAUUUUAAAUUUAAAUUUCAAAUUUCAAAUUCAAAUUUUAAUUUUAAAUUUAAAUUUAUUUCAAAUUUAUGCAAUUAUCAAAUUAAAUUUUAAAUUCAAAUUUCAAAUUUCAAUUUAAUUUGUUUUAAAUUUCAAAUUUUGAAGACUGUAAAUUUAAUUUUUGUUUUUUAUGAAUAAGUUUAAAUUUAAAUUAUAAUUUUAAAUUUCAGAUUUUAAACUUAAAUUUAAGUUUUUUUUAAUUUUAAAAUUUAAAUUUUAAUGUCGUAGAGUGUGGAAAUUUUAAUUUUGAUUUCAAAUUUUAAAUUUUUAAUUUUUAUUUUAAAUAAAUUUCGAGAGUGAUAAGUUUUAAUUUUAAAUUUUAAAUUUUAAUUUUAAAUUUCCAAACUUUAAAUUUAUAAAUUUUAACUUUAAAUUUAAAAUUUAAAUUAAUUUCUAAUUUCGAAUUUUAAUUUUAGAAUUUCAAAGUCUUCAAGUCUUAUACGCUGUCAUAAUUUAAAUUUAAACUUUUAAAUUUUAAAUUUAUUUUUUAAACUUUUAAAUUUUUAAAUAUUUUUUUUAAAUUUAUAUUUCGUUAAAUUUCAAUUUCAAAUUUUAUAAUUUAAAAUUUUUUUAUUAUAAAAAUUUAAUAUUUGUAGAGAGGGGAUUUAAGGAAGUGUUGAAGUGUGAGGUUGUGAGGAUUUGUUAGAUGUUUAAAUUUAAAUUAUUGUAAAUUUCAAAUUUAAUUUAAAAUUUUAAUUCAAAUUCAAAGUUCAAAAUAGGUUGGCGAGGUUCACGAUUAUCGAGAGUUGAGUGUAAAUUUUUAAUUUUUAAUUUGAACUUUUAUCUAAAUAUUACAAAUCCUGGUGGAGGUGUGAGCAAUGCGUAUAAAUAUCAUUUAAAAUUGAUGGGAUCCGUGGAAUUUUUUAAGUUGCCAGUAUUCGUGAUUUUAUCUGUAGACGAACACAGUUUUAAUCCCGGAGAUUUUAUAUGUGGUGAGUGGCGAAAGGGCGUUGAAGCUGCGUGUGUGUGGUGCGGGUGAGCUGUGUUGUGAAAUUUUUGAAGUAAUCUAAUAUAAAUAAAAUAAAAAAUAGACGAGGGCUAAACGCCACUAAGUUAAUCUAGUUGAGUAAUAUAGAAUUUACGUGGGGAAUGAGAGGUCGAGCAGAGAGGACGAAGUGAUUGCGGGGGCUGAAGGGAGGAGCGAAUAUCCUCAUAUUAAGGAUUGGGUUAGAUUUCAUAAUAAUGUUAAUUUCUUCUUUCCCUUACCGGAGCCGGCUAGUGGUUUUAUUUUCUUUUACACUCUACCUCAUUCUUCUUUUAAACUUUUUUUCUCUUUAAACUUCAACUCUUGGGUCUCCUUAGAAGCGUGAGAGCGCGUGGCGGCCCCAGGCGUGUGUUCAAAUUCUAACUCCUCACUCCUCUAUCUCGACUCUAUUUCUCUUCAUAUUUCUUUAAUUAUGCUCUCUCUCUCUAGCCUAUGUUCUCUCUCUUCCUUUUUCUAAAAAGAUAUUGAAAUUUUUUGUGGCAUUAUCUAAAAUUAAUUAAAAAAAUAAAUAAAUAAAUUGUAUAUUUUUUGUAAACUUAAAUAGCAUGACUAAGUAAUAUAACUGUGCGAACCAAACACAGGAAUGUCACAUUCUUAGUAAUAGGAUGAAUAGGAAUAAGAUUCUCGGAUAUCAUUUUAUUGCUAGUAAUCUUUUAUAGUGCGAACCAAACGCACCUUAAAAGAUUUUUGAAUGGAAAAUGUACAAGGAAUCGACCGAUGUGCAAGGGGUCG
rnacentral:lncRNA from 1 species